UUUACUAUUUGCAUAUAAGGCUGC
rnacentral:siRNA from 1 species